rnacentral:rRNA from 1 species
GACGAACCGUGCGAACGUUGUUCGGAAUCACUGGGCUUAAAGGGCGCGUAGGCGGGCGGCCAAGUUCGGGGUGAAAUCCUCCAGCUCAACUGGAGAACGGCCUCGAAUACUGGACGUCUCGAGGGAGGUAGGGGCGUGCGGAACUAUGGGUGGAGCGGUGAAAUGCGUUGAUAUCCAUAGGAACUCCGGUGGCGAAGGCGGCACGCUGGACCUUUUCUGACGCUGAGGCGCGAAAGCCAGGGGAGCAAACGGG